UACGUAGGGUGCAAGCGUUUGUCCGGAAUUAUUGGGCGUAAAGAGCUCGUAGGCGGUUCGUCGCGUCGGCUGUGAAAUCCCGGAGCUCAACUCCGGGUCUGCAGUCGAUACGGGCGGACUUGAGUACUGCAGGGGAGACUGGAAUUCCUGGUGUAGCGGUGAAAUGCGCAGAUAUCAGGAGGAACACCGGUGGCGAAGGCGGUUCUCUGGGCCUUACCUGACACUGAGGAGCGAAAGCGUGGGGAGCAAACAGG
rnacentral:rRNA from 1 species